rnacentral:rRNA from 1 species
AUGGCUUUGGCUAUCACUCUGGGAUGGACCUGCGGUGCAUUAGCUAGUUGGUAAGGUAACGGCUUACCAAGGCGAUGAUGCAUAGCCGAGUUGAGAGACUGAUCGGCCACAAUGGAACUGAGACACGGUCCAUACUCCUACGGGAGGCAGCAGUAGGGAAUCUUCCACAAUGGGCGCAAGCCUGAUGGAGCAACACCGCGUGAGUGAAGAAGGGUUUCGGCUCGUAAAGCUCUGUUGUUGGAGAAGAACGUGCGUGAGGGUAACUGUUCACGCAGUGACGGUAUCCAACCAGAAAGUCACGGCUAACUACGUGCCAGCAGCCGCGGUAAUACGUAGGUGGCAAGCGUUAUCCGGAUUUAUUGGGCGUAAAGCGAGCGCAGGCGGUUGCUUAGGUCUGAUGUGAAAGCCUUCGGCUUAACCGAAGAAGUGCAUCGGAAACCGGGCGACUUGAGUGCAGAAGAGGACAGUGGAACUCCAUGUGUAGCGGUGGAAUGCGUAGAUAUAUGGAAGAACACCAGUGGCGAAGGCGGCUGUCUGGUCUGCAACUGACGCUGAGGCUCGAAAGCAUGGGUAGCGAACAGGAUUAGAUACCCUGGUAGUCCAUGCCGUAAACGAUGAGUGCUAGGUGUUGGAGGGUUUCCGCCCUUCA